UACGGGGGUGGCAAGCGUUGUUCGGAAUUACUGGGCGUAAAGGGCGCGUAGGCGGGGGAGGUAAGUCGGGUGUGAAAUCCCUCGGCUCAACCGAGGAACUGCGCCCGAGACUGCCUUUCUUGAGUCCCGGAGAGGAAGGUGGAAUUCCCGGUGUAGCGGUGAAAUGUGUAGAGAUCGGGAGGAACACCGGUGGCGAAGGCGGCCUUCUGGACGGUGACUGACGCUGAAGGCGCGAAAGCGUGGGGAGCAAACGGGAUUGAGAACCCUUGGUAGUC
rnacentral:rRNA from 1 species